AAGCUGAAAUUCUUCUUAAACU
rnacentral:tRNA from 1 species